GUGUCCGUGGUGUAGCGGUUGCUGCACGUCUGGCUGUGGACCAGAAGGUGGCGGUUCGACUCCGCUCGGACACC
rnacentral:tRNA from 1 species